GCCCUGGUGGCUCAGUGGUUAAGCGUUUGGCUGCUAACCAAAAAGGUUGGCUCUUCGAAUCCACCAGCU
rnacentral:tRNA from 1 species